rnacentral:rRNA from 1 species
UACGAGGGGUGCAAGCGUUGUCCGGAUUUAUUGGGCGUAAAGAGUUCGUAGGCGGUGAUUCAAGUCUGAUGUUAAAUACCAGAGCUUAACUCUGGCAUGGCAUUGGAAACUGGGUCGCUAGAGUGUGUCAGAGGUAACUGGAAUUCCAGGUGUAGCGGUGAAAUGCGUAGAUAUCUGGAGGAACACCGGUGGCGAAAGCGAGUUACUGGGACACUACUGACGCUGAGGAACGAGAGCCAGGGUAGCAAAAGGG